rnacentral:rRNA from 1 species
UACGAAGGGGGCUAGCGUUGCUCGGAAUCACUGGGCGUAAAGGGUGCGUAGGCGGGUUUUUAAGUCAGAGGUGAAAUCCUGGAGCUCAACUCCAGAACUGCCUUUGAUACUGAAAGUCUUGAGUAUGGGAGAGGUGAGUGGAACUGCGAGUGUAGAGGUGAAAUUCGUAGAUAUUGGGAGGAACACCAGUGGCGAAGGCGGCUCACUGGACCGGAACUGACGCUGAGGCGCGAAAGCGUGGGGAGCAAACGGG